rfam:Colletotrichum tofieldiae strain 0861 Ct_v4_contig81, whole genome shotgun sequence.
AGCCCUUGAAGCACCCUCGACCGCAAAAGCCAACGCCUGAUACACAGCCUUCACCGGAGGACAGUUCGAGAUACGACCUUGAAACCUGUCUGUGGACACUCCUGUCGCAAUCGAAAGAAAGCUCUCUCGCCCAUGCCGGCUCAAUCACGCACCACACCUCCCCUUCAGUUCUCCGAUUCUCAUUUUCCGCAAGGAAUGUCUACCGCAGACCUCUCAGCAAGGGCUGACAACCCACGAUACGUCGCAUCCGAGCCUGUAUCAGGACCUCGUGCUUGCCGCGGUUGGAGCUAUCGUGGUCCAUGGUUGUCUAUACCAGACAAUGCAGUCCAGCUGAGAGAAUGAGUCUCGGAACUUAACCCUAAGUAUCCCUUUGGUUCAAGUUUUGCGUCCGCAGUCGUGGACCCUACCUUUUAAACCCGCCCGGCCUACCGGUGAUGCAAUCGCCGCUGAAAAGUGGUGAGGCUCGCCGAGGGUCGCGGUGGGUGGACUGGCAGGGAACACAUUCCAGUCACCUUCUGGUGCGCGAAAGGGGGUUGCUAUGAGUCGUUUGGGUAAGAGCCUCUGGUCUGAGGCCGCUCGUCAGGACCUAUCCGCUGGAACCAGUACUCUGGCCAAGAGUAGGUCGCUGGGAGGAGGCAGCAGGCUUGGCUUGCAGGAUCGUACCGGCAACGAUCUGCUUUUCGGGGUUUGUCGUCGUGCCCAUUUACUGGGUUCGACCCUGUGUCAAUUGGUGUGGAGGGAAGAGCUCAGCGUCGGUCACAAACAGUCAGCAUCGAAGUUUCAAUACGCAAUCUGCCUCGGUCUCGCCUCGCUGGCCGCACUAUGAUGUUGCGAGGAUUCCCAGGCUACAAACAGAAACUCGUCGAUCUGCCAAUUCCAACCAUGCUCAGCUCUCGGCUCUCUCCCCUCCAAUACACGACCCCGGACUUACUCAGCAGACAAGAAUUGCCAGUAUUGGAUUCCGCAGCCAGUCAGCUCUUCUCCGAGCCACACCACGGCACCUGCCACCGGUGUGACAUGCCCGCAUGUGAUCUGGUCAGUCGCAUCAGCCUUCAGUCGUGGGUUCUGUCCCACGACAUCGGAGGACGCCAAAUCCUCGUUGUUCUCUUUAGAGAUCAACACUUGCCCGAUUGUCUUCCUGAAACGGGGCCAAUGGAUGAGAGCGCGGUUUUUUAUGGACGUCUUUUGUCCGCGCGAAAUGCCCUCCUUUGCGAAUCGUCGCCGGAGAGGAAACAAAAACUAGCCCAAGGAGAUUGUGCGAACCAAGCAGAGCGAGCUUCCCGAUUGCUUCGGACUACACAGAAAUGGAAUUCAGUUCGCCGAACUCCGGAUGGCCGUGUAGGUGAUGGCUGUGCAUCGCGAAAAGGGAUCUAUGCUGGGCGACCCCGCGAGGCCUCGUGUCGGAGGCGCUGAACGGCUGAACAUUGUUAAGGCGAUCCCGGGACCCAUCUCGUGUUGGAGUCAAAGUUUUGUGCUUGUCCGGGGUCGCCGAGGACAUGGGCUGCUAAUCUCCCCCCACCGCUCGAGGCUUGUGCGCUCGUUGGAUCAAAAGGACAGGCCAUUGGAAGGUAGUCCUGGUUGCCGUCUCUCCAGAAAUGGCGAGAUGGCAACCCCCUGUGGCUGGGG